CAAUAGCGUAUAUUAAAGUUGUUGCAGUUAAAAAGCUCGUAGUUGGAGUUCAGAGUGAGCUCAGCCGGUCGGGAUUAUGUCUCAGAACUGGUUGACUCUCUCUUGUUUGUGGAUCCUGUUCGGAGUUAACUCGUCGGAUGUGGAGUCCACAUCGUUUACCUUGAAAAAAUUAGAGUGUUCAAAGCAGGCGUUUGCUUGAAUAUAUUAGCAUGGAAUAAUGGAAUAGGACGCUGGUUCUAUUUUGUUGGUUUUGAGAACCAGAGUAAUGAUUAAUAGGGACAGUUGGGGCGAUCAUAUUCCAUUGUUCAGAGGUGGAAAUUACUUUGGUAGUUAAACGGUAAAGGAAUGAACUAA
rnacentral:rRNA from 1 species